UACGAAGGGGGCUAGCGUUGCUCGGAAUCACUGGGCGUAAAGCGCACGUAGGCGGAUUGUUAAGUCAGGGGUGAAAUCCUGGAGCUCAACUCCAGAACUGCCUUUGAUACUGGCGAUCUCGAGUCCGGGAGAGGGGAGUGGAACUGCGAGUGUAGAGGUGAAAUUCGUAGAUAUUCGCAAGAACACCAGUGGCGAAGGCGGCUCACUGGCCCGGUACUGACGCUGAGGUGCGAAAGCGUGGGGAGCAAACAGG
rnacentral:rRNA from 1 species